rnacentral:lncRNA from 1 species
GAUAUUACUUUUACCUGCUUACUGAACAAAAGGUGUUUUUCAACAGUAAGGCAUAUUUUUUGGAAAAAAAAUUUCUUAGUGAAGGAAUAAGUGCCUCUAAAAUCAAGCUUGAUGAAGUUUGACAGGUAGAAGAACCGACACCAAUGAUUAAAUCUGAACCAGAUUUGAGGAGAUCAAACCUGAAUCCUAAUGAACAAACAUUCUUAAGGC